UGAGUUGUAAGAUAAAAGGGAACAUGGGCUUUGUUUUGGUCUCUUGGAUGUGAUGAGAAAAAGGACUCAAAGAGCACAUGGAGGCACAUAGGAGGCUGGAGUGCAAGUUUGUAUAGAUUUCAUUGAAUAUAAUGCCAGAUAGAAGGAAGGUGAGGAUUUUGAUUGACAAUGAGAGCAUCUCAUAACUUCAGAGACAGCAAG
rnacentral:lncRNA from 1 species